UGUUUCAGGGUUUGGGUUAGUGAGCCUCAUCCUGGCAGUUAUUUUAUAGUAAAGAACAUUCAAGUGCUCUGCCUACCUAGGGCCCUGUGAAGCAAUGAAAUAUCACUCUCAUAUAGAGAAUCUGGAUGAAGAUGGAUAUACUCAAUUAGACUUCAGCACUCAAGACAUCCAUAAAAGGCCCAGGGGAUCAGAGAAAGGAAGCCAGGCUCCAUCUUCACCUUGGAGGCCCAUUGCAGUGGGUUUAGGAAUCCUGUGCUUUGUGGUAGUAGUGGUUGCUGCAGUGCUGGGUGCCCUAGCAUUUUGGUGACACAAUUCAGGGAGAAAUCCAGAGGAGAAAGACAACUUCCUAUCAAGAAAUAAAGAGAACCACAAGCCCACAGAAUCAUCUUUAGAUGAGAAGGUGGCUCCCUCCAAGGCAUCCCAAACUACAGGAGGUUUUUCUCAGCCUUGCCUUCCUAAUUGGAUCAUGCAUGGGAAGAGCUGUUACCUAUUUAGCUUCUCAGGAAAUUCCUGGUAUGGAAGUAAGAGACACUGCUCCCAGCUAGGUGCUCAUCUACUGAAGAUAGACAACUCAAAAGAAUUUGAGUUCAUUGAAAGCCAAACAUCGUCUCACCGUAUUAAUGCAUUUUGGAUAGGCCUUUCCCGCAAUCAGAGUGAAGGGCCAUGGUUCUGGGAGGAUGGAUCAGCAUUCUUCCCCAACUCGUUUCAAGUCAGAAAUACAGCUCCCCAGGAAAGCUUACUGCACAAUUGUGUAUGGAUUCAUGGAUCAGAGGUCUACAACCAAAUCUGCAAUACUUCUUCAUACAGUAUCUGUGAGAAGGAACUGUAAAUGUAUGUGAGAAUAUAAAGAUGGUGUGUGUGUGUGUGUGUGUGUGUGUGUACAUGCACACACACCACCACCACCACCACUACCAACAACAGAACAGAACAGAACAGAACAGAACAGAUUAAUAUUAAAAAACAGAAAAAAUGCUGGGAUGCUAAGAGACUUUAACCUCAUUUGAGAACUUGGAUGAAGAAGCUGAGACUUUUGUACUUGUCAUCUUCACAAAGAUGGUGGCACUAUCUUCCAGUUAGGAAGUCACUAGACAUGGAGUGAGGGCAGCUCAACAAUACAGAGAAUAUGUGAACCUGAGGUACCCUGACUCAAAUUUCACAACCACAAUGAAACCCCUACACUAUCAGGAAACACUGUAGAGGAGUGAGACUGAAGACUUUAAAAGCCAGAGAAUCAGCCUACUUACUGUGGUGUUUUCUAGACAGGACAGGGAAAGUAUAUCUAGGAAAUAAAAACAAUACAAUUCAGCAAACAAAAUCUGCAUAAUGACAACCUCAGUUGGUAUGGUAUGUUAUGGUAUGGUAUGGGUGUAGAAGUUUCACAAGGCCCUAUGAAGAACUACAGACAGUUAAAUAGGGGGAAAGCUUUUUCUAGGAUCAAGCCUACUGAACCCCAAGAAGUCAGCACUGAACAUAUGUACAGAUCAGUAUCAUUAAAUGAACUAGUAAGACAUAUACAUAUAUGUUAAUCAAAUAUUGGUACCAGAGUACACACUGUGUUUGCAUGAUUUUCUCAGUAUCUACAGUACACCAGACACAGGGAGAAGGCAAAAUGAACUUCUAAAUUGAGAAGUGAAAAAAAUGAGGGAAGAGAAUCUUCACCACAAAUAGGGAUUCUAUUUUCACCCACAUGAUCAUUAUUAAGAUGGCCAUCACCCAAACGUCGUGACCCAAGCUACUUCCUCAACUAGAUAACUCAAAGAGUCUGCCCACCUUUUCUGAUAGCAAAUCUGGUAUCUAGAUUUCACUGUUUCCUUAUGCUGUCUGGCCAGCAGUAUGACAAAGGUGCUGCCCUUUCAGGAAGCAGUCUCCUUAAAUGCUGUAGUUGGAAAGAUAAAUCAUAUCUGAUAGUGAAUAUUUAAAAAGCGCCCAGUCAGGAUAAGUGUUUUGGAACACAGAACAUAUUUCAUCUUUUUAUGAUACACUAUCUUGCAAUUAACAACCAAUUCUUAAGUCAUUUCUUUACAAACAUAUGACUGGAAUAUGACUGUUUCCUAGUGUGAUCUGUCUUGUUAACUUCUAAGAUUGUCCAUUAAUACCACCCUUAUUUCCAGUGUGGACUUCCAAAUUGCUGGGGAUCUGUUUAUAGCUUUCUCAGACUAAUCAAUAUGUGGGCAGAAAUUGUGCUGAGUCCACUGAAUUGUUCUCUUGAAAAUGAUUGGGUUUAUGUCACUUUCAUCUCAAUUGAAAAACUGCUUAUUAAAGUAUCUUUGGCCUCUGAA